CUGGUUAAAAUCUCAUAAUUCUAAGAUAAGGAAAAAUAAUAAACAAAGAUGCCACAACAGUAAAAGAUUGUGCCGAUCAAAGUUCCCACCUGCUAGAGCAAUGCAUAUGUAAGCCUAACAUUGCCAGUACUGUAGAGAGACCACUGAGCCCCUGACGCGCGGGUUUCGCCAGAUAAUUUGCGAGCACGGAUCCUGCUGGAUGCAUUUAAUU